rnacentral:lncRNA from 1 species
GCUCUAUCUUGGACUGUGUUUUUCACACCUCAUAUGCAGCUUCUCUGACCCAGGCAGCUGGAAUUGAGGUGACAUCUCUGCUUUUCUGUUCCUUCCAGGAUCUAAAAGAGAAGAAGGAAGUUGUUGAAGAAACAGAAAAUGGCAGAGAUGCACCGGCCAACGGCAACGCUGUGAGUAUGGCUACAAUCUGCAGGGAGAGGCAGCCCUUAGACCCCAAUGCCUCUUUAUUUUCCUCUCCCUCCUUGCUUUUGCUGUGAACUUGUCCCCAGCCCCUCUGAGAGGAGACCCCUCCAAAUGACAGCACCAUGCUGUGCAGAGACCUCGAGUCUUUGGGGCUUCAGGUUCAGCAGAUGCUCCUGAGCCUGUGGGUAGUUCAUGUGUGUGCAGAAAGGAAGGGCUGGGCUUGUAUCCCCUCCCUGAAAGCCGAGUGAGGUGCCACCUCCUCCUUGGGUGUUGGAAGGGGGGGGGGGGAAUAUCCUAUAAUUAAAGUGUUAUAAUCAGUUGAGUGGGGGAAACACAUUGUGUACAAGUAAACUGUCUGGUUUCCUAUUUUUAACAUGCUGGGGGAAACUCACUCUGCUGCAUUUCAGUGUGUCACAAUAGCCUUUGCAGUCUUUGUCUUGACCUCCAGGCUGCAGCCCCAAGUUACUCUAGCCUUGAUCCUUCAUGCUUGGGCUGCCUGCCUCGUGUAGAGGCAGGCAGGAAGUGGGACGCGCGCCUGGGGCUCUGGUGGGCUGGUGCUUGGCUUUAGGCAGGAAAGGUGGGGACACGCACUUCUGCUGAAUAUCUCUUCCCCCUUCUCCCUUCCCCAGUGCAUUUUUUUAAGUGAUGUUUUGUCUUGCCAAGGAGAACGAGGAAAACGGAGAGCAGGAGGCUGACAACGAAGUAGACGAAGAGGAAGAGGAAGGUGGUGAGGAAGAGGACGAGGAGGAAGAGGGUGAGGAAGAGGAUGGUGAUGAAGACGACGAAGCUGAGGGAGCCACAGGCAAACGGGCAGCUGAGGACGAUGAGGUAGGAAGGAAAACCAGCCCUUUGGAGCUGCCCAUCUCCCCAGAGGGCUCCGGGGGAGCUUCAAGGGGGCCAGGCUGAGCUCUGGGGCUGGGACGCCCUGCCUGAGCACUCCCCGUGCCCCUCUGGGGACGCGGCCCAGUUCCGUUUAUACGCUGACCCGGUUAGUGGGGUGUCCUCUCUGGCUGCACGGAGCCACUGGCCCCGGGGUUGGGGAGCCCCAGAGUGCUUGUGGGGGCCAGGGCAGGGGUGCUCUGGGGCUCCCCGAGCUGGCUGCGAGGAUAUUGUUUGCACAAGGGGUAAAGCACUGGUGUUGCUCUGUACUUGUCCCUGAGGUGGGAAGGGGACCCAAAACCAUCUCCUGCCUCACUGCCCACCUGCCUUGGUGGGGAGCUCCCCAGCCCCCCAGCAGCCCCGCUCCACAUCCCCUCUCCUGACGGCUUUGCUUUCCCCCCAGGACGACGACGUUGAUCCCAAGAAGCAGAAAACCGAUGAAGAUGACUAGGCAGCAAAUUAUUAUUAUUUUUUUUUUUAAAUAAGGAGGAAAACAAACCAACAAAAAAGGCCAGCGCGUCCUCUUCACCCUUGGGACCCCCCCCCUUCCCUCCUGAUGCAACCCCCUACCCACACACACGCCCCCUUCCUCCCCCCUCNNNNNNNNNNNNNNNNNNNNNNNNNNNNNNNNNNNNNNNNNNNNNNNNNNUCCUGUCCUGCCUGAAAGCCACUGGCUCUGGAAGCCAAGGACAUGUGUAGCACCUACAUGGUCCCGAGCAGACUGUGCCAGGGAGCAGUGUUUGAACACUGAUGCUCUCUGAGUCCACACUCUCUUUGAGACGUGCUGUGAAUAGAAAUCAGUGACGGUAGUUCCCAUCCUGGUGCCUCCUCUAUGUGACUGGCUUUACUCCAGACAGGGAACAAGAGGGAAAAUGCUGGAGAGGGUCUUCCAGAGGACACAGUGACCUUGCGGUGAGACUGGCUCUCCCUGUCUGCCUCUCGUUGGCAGGAGGAUUCCCAUACCCUUCUGUCUCUGCUGGCAACGUGCUCCUCAUGUGCUUGCCAGCCCCCAUCUAGCACUGCAGGGAGGGUGGUUUUUGUCAGUGAUUACAGCUUCCCAGGGGCCUCCCUCAAGGAACCUUUUCCAUCCCCCACCAAAGCUUGUGCCUCCCUGUCCACCCCCAGAGCAACGCCCAGCGUGCGUUAUUCUGACACAAGUCCUAGGGGUCGCUGACCUACUCACAAGUCAGUGUGCAAACACUGGCCAGCACUGGACGUUUCUGGGGAAAGUGUGUGAAUACCAUUACAGGUGACUGCAAAAUGACUGUUUCCUACCUGUUAAGGGUAUUUUAUCCCCGAAUACAACUCUGUGUGACUAAACGCACAGUUUAUAAGCCAACGUGAGACAUUCAAAGCUUGGCAAAAUGGUACAGUGAUGAAACAAACACUACAACAGCUCCUAUGGUGAUACAUUACAUGAAAAACAACCACCUUGGAAAAAGUGAGUGAUCAAUAGCUGGAUUUGAAAAUGGCCCAAACAUUUUUUUUCUCUCUGGAUGUAAGGGGUAAUUCGGCUGUAAAACAUCAUAAAAUCCUUUCACAGUUCACCUUUCAAAAAAAAUUAAGCAACUCUAAUAAAGGAUCAGUUCCACUUUCUCCA